rnacentral:lncRNA from 1 species
CUGUGCUCCUCCCUCUCAUUCACAUGUUGAUACCCAAUCUCCAGUGUGAUGGAAUUUGGAGGUGGAGACUUUGAGAAGCAAUUCAGUUAUGAGGGCAGAGAAACCUCAUGAAUGGGAUAAGCGCCCUUAUCAAAGAGAGUCCAGAAAGCUGCCUCACCCCUUCCUCCGUGUGAGGACACAGCAGCAGCAAGUACUCCAGCAGCAGGAAGUACUGAUCUUCUGUGCUAAUGCUCAGUCUACUUCACGGCUGGAAUUUCCCUCGAGAGGGGAUUUAUGGCAGCGUCACUCUCAGAAGACUCUGCCUGUAGUCAGGUGGCCUGGUUGAUAUCAACAACAUGUGAAAUUCCAUUCAUGAUGCAGUACCUAAGACACAUGAGGAGCUGACCACCCGUUGCCUGCCAAUGGUGCUGCAUGCCACACUGGCCUGCUUAUACCUCAGAAGAUGGAGCUUUACAGUUGACCUCGAGCCAUGUUUAGUUUCCCACGUGCUGGUUCAGAAGUCUCACCAGCUAUUAAAAUUUG